rnacentral:lncRNA from 1 species
GUGAAAUGGAGUGAGGCAUACCAGGAUAUGCCUGGUUUUACUCUUGGGAAGGAGGUUGAACAGUGCAAUAUUUCUUCUAUAGGAUUGCAGUGACCAGACAUGCUACUGUAACUCUCAUGGUCAUGUGCUGGAAUUAGCAGAUAUUCAACAAUUUGGCCAUCUCGCUGACCUAUUGAUAUCAGAAGGUAACGAUAUCCAGUAGAAUUUGUUUUAGAUGUUCAGUAACCUAUUUAAAUAGUAUUGUGAUUUUUGAUUGCUUAUCACUGUAGACCGCAGCAGCUCUGCAAAGCAAGUUGCAAAACAGAAUCCAUGAAAGUGGCAGUGACCGGAAACCAGUUGGAAGACUUUGGUCUGUGAUGUAGAGGAGUGGGCAGAGGGUGAGGAAAUUCUUAUUAAUAUUACAUGUAGUCAUGAAAAAUUGUAAGUGUUACUAUUAUUGUCAUUUUUUCAGUAGCAGAAGCAAAGACAACAAAAAACAGAAGUGAUAUGGAUGUCUUCGUCAUAUGGCAUGACUCUGCUGACCCAGCAACAAAGAGGAGGGUCUUCAACAUCAUCCUGCUAGUCAGGAUUCUUCAGGAGAAGCAGUGGAUUCUUGUGGCAGAGAUGGCCAACCACUAUAAAUACCUUUCAACUCAUCCUGGUUCCUUCAAAGAACUUUCCUGCUUGUUUGCUACUGAAAAGUAUGUAUUUGUAUUAUUUGGCACAGACAUAAGCAUAAGGUUACCCAGUCCAAAGGAUAUUAAUAUAUUUUUAUGUUGUUGUGUUCUUCUUUUAAGAUUCGACAUGUGGCCUAAACGAAGAGGGGUUAAAAGGUCUAUGGAUCAUCAUUCUCAGAAAGCAACAAAAUAACUGAGAAAUAAACAACAAUACGAUGGUGCAAUCUAGAGACCUGCAAGGUACUUGCAAGUUUUGGCUGGAGCAGAGAACAUAGAUUUUUUUAAAUAAAGCUCCAGCUGAUGAAUAUGACAUUGACUGUGGAUUUUCUUUUACUGUAAUCCAGAAGAGGAUGACCUUAACCCUGAAUCUAAAGCAUGUAAUGCAAUCUGUAAAAAAAAUAAAAUAAAAAUUUCAUCUUCUAUAACCAAAUUGUUGUCUCUUUUUUUUUUUUAAAUACAUAGAUAUGUACGGU